CCUGAGGGGGAGAAAGCGGAAUGCUCUUUCCAGAAAUGCCGUUCUCUCCAGGCCCUUCUGUCCUUCGCCACCUCCCGGGGCUCCCCGAUGCCCCUGGUCCGCUUCCCUCGGCCCGUCUGGCCUGGACUCCCCAUCUGGAAUACGGGGCUAUUGAACGCCCGCAAGAGAAAUAAGAGGUAAUAAGAGCCCAGCUGGCCUCACCUGAACGGAUGGCAGAGACGGGCAGAAUCCGAUGCCCCACAAACUUGCCACCUUCCUCAAAGGCCGCGAUGCGGAGCGAAGCCAGCGUGGGGAGCACCACCUGAGGGCCCAGACCGGUGCUGAGCCAGGGAGCUGACCCACGGCCACCGCGUCCACAGGGCCACAGCUGACCACAGCCACCAAGGCCAGCGCUCCGAGUGGCCCCUCAGACGAGCUGACCCAAUUACUGACCAUCGGUCACCGUCGCCACUGAACCAGUGGCGGCCUCCACGGCCCGGCCCAACCGAUGGCGAGCAGCGGAGAGAACGGGGCAGACCCCUCCAGGCACCGCUCUCAUGGGACGGUCCCGGUCAUGGCCAGGCUGCAGAGGGCAAGGAGCCCAGGCCUGACCCUGUCACACGCGGGGCCUGGAGGUGACAGGCGCACCCGCCUUCCGACUCCUGACCACCAACCCACGCACCUGCUUCCUGCUGCCCCGAGGGCCCGGCGGGGCGGGUGCAGGCCCCGGGCUCACC